rnacentral:rRNA from 1 species
CCUACGGGUGGCAGCAGUGAGGAAUAUUGGUCAAUGGGCGUAAGCCUGAACCAGCCAAGUCGCGUGAGGGAUGAAGGUUCUAUGGAUCGUAAACCUCUUUUAUAAGGGAAUAAAGUGUGGGACGUGUCCUAUUUUGUAUGUACCUUAUGAAUAAGGAUCGGCUAACUCCGUGCCAGCAGCCGCGGUAAUACGGAGGAUCCGAGCGUUAUCCGGAUUUAUUGGGUUUAAAGGGUGCGUAGGCGGCCUUUUAAGUCAGCGGUGAAAGUCUGUGGCUCAACCAUAGAAUUGCCGUUGAAACUGGGGGGCUUGAGUAUGUUUGAGGCAGGCGGAAUGCGUGGUGUAGCGGUGAAAUGCUUAGAUAUCACGCAGAACCCCGAUUGCGAAGGCAGCUUGCUGCAGCGGAACUGACGCUGAUGCUCGAAAGCGCGGGUAUCGAACAGGAUUAGAUACCCCUGUAGUC